CAGUCGCCACGGGAAUACGGAGGGGGCUAGCGCUGUUCGGAAUUACUGGGCGUAAAGCGCACGUAGGCGGCUUGGUAAGUUAGAGGUGAAAGCCCAGGGCUCAACCCUGGAAUUGCCUUUAAGACUGCCGAGCUAGUAGGUGAGAGAGGUAAGUGGAAUUCCGAGUGUAGAGGUGAAAUUCGUAGAUAUUCGGAAGAACACCAGUGGCGAAGGCGGCUUAUUGGCUCAUUCUAGACGCUGAGGUGCGAAAGCGUGGGGAGCAAACAGGAUUAGAUACCCCAGUAGUCCCUGUCUCUUACAC
rnacentral:rRNA from 1 species